UACGAAGGGGGCUAGCGUUGUUCGGAAUCACUGGGCGUAAAGCGCACGUAGGCGGAUUGUUAAGUCAGAGGUGAAAUGCCAAGGCUCAACCUUGGAACUGCCUUUGAUACUGGCAAUCUCGAGUCCGGGAGAGGUGAGUGGAACUGCGAGUGUAGAGGUGAAAUUCGUAGAUAUUCGCAAGAACACCAGUGGCGAAGGCGGCUCACUGGCCCGGUACUGACGCUGAGGCACGAAAGCGUGGGGAGCAAACAGG
rnacentral:rRNA from 1 species